CGGGCUUCUAGUUCAGCUUCCACUGAACGUCUCCAAUGCUGUAACCAUCACCCAAUCUCAAGACGACAUUGUCAUCGACCAGAGCUCCCGGAUGCAAGUCUUUUUCAGUCCCAAUGGCCAAGUAGAGGUGAAAGUCAACGACAGUCUUUCAGGAAAGAUGUGUGCUCCUUGUGGGAACUUCAACAGAGACAUCUCAGAUGACUUCAGACUACCCAAUGGUCAGAUUGUGGGGGACAUUGUGGAGGUCAUGGAUGCCUGGAAGGCCAGAGACUUCUCAGAGUGUUAUUAACAAUCGGAAAGCCACAUACUUCUUAAAAUCGUCAUUUCUGAAAAUCCAUCUGGAACCACGCGUUGUGCCUCACAAGCACCGUCGGAUGCUGCAGCGGGUGAAAACUUAGCUCACAGCCAGGAACGUGAAGAAAUGCACUGCCAUGUCGAAAUAUGGGGCCUGUGUUAAAUCAGUAGAGGGGAGAUUUGUCAAUGGUUAUCAGCAAUGGUUGCCAAGAAUGAAACUUCCAUGUUCAGAGGCAGUAUAGCACUGUGUAUCAGAUGCAGUAGACAAAGAUUAAGGGUGGUUAUCACCUUCAUGCUGGGCUUGAAAGGUGUCCAACAGCAGACAGCUGGCCCCUGUGGGUGUCAAUGUGCAGGGGUAAAAGACCUUCCAUCUGACCCAGCAAAGCUCCAUUGAUGUCAUUUCUAUUGACCAUCUCCCAGUAAUGUGUGAAUUUUGAUGGGAAUCCUUAGUAUCCUGUAAAUCGCAGCAUGCUUUGCAAUACAAAUCCUAACCAGAGGUCGUAAAAGUCAACAGGGAUGAAGAAGUAAACUCUUUGCAAACACACACCCCCGCCCGCUGCAAAGUUUUGUGUCAAUGCAUUUGCUUGCCUGCCCGCAAGAAGGUAUAUGCCAUGCAAAAUGACUCUCAACAUGGACUGGGCAUAGAUUAAGGCUGUCAUUGGGAAUAGAUGUAUGCUUGGGAUGGGCCCCUGCUUUCCACAAC